GGGUGAGUAACACGUGGGUAACCUGCCCCGAUGAUUGGGACAACCCGAGGAAACUCGGGCUAAUACCAAAUGUGCCCUCCGUCCGUAAGGACGGUAUGUAAAGAUAGCUUCGGCUUUCGCAUCGGGAGGGGCCCGCGGCCCAUUAGCUUGUUGGUGAGGUAACGGCUCACCAAGGCUGCGAUGGGUAGCUGGUCUGAGAGGACGAUCAGCCACACUGGGACUGAGACACGGCCCAG
rnacentral:rRNA from 1 species